rnacentral:rRNA from 1 species
GAGUUUGAUCAUGGCUCAGAUUGAACGCUGGCGGCAGGCCUAAGACAUGCAAGGCGAGCGAGAAAGCACUUCGGUGUGAGUAGAGCGGCGGACGGGUGAGUAACGCGUAGGAAUCUACCUAGUAGUGGGGGAUAACAUGUGGAAACGCAUGCUAAUACCGCAUACGCCCUACGGGGGAAAGAGGGGGACAUUUGCCUCUUGCUAUUAGAUGAGCCUGCGUAAGAUUAGCUAGUUGGUGGGGUAAGGGCCUACCAAGGCGACGAUCUUUAGCUGGUCUGAGAGGAUGAUCAUCCACACUGGGACUGAG